rnacentral:snRNA from 1 species
GGAUGUGAGGGCAAUCUGGCUGCGACAUCUGUCACCCCAUUGAUCACCAGGGUUGAUUCGGCUGAUCUGGCUGGCUAGGCAGGUGUCCCCUUCCUCCCUUAACGAUCCAUGUGCGUCCCUCCCAAAGCUGCGCGCUUGGUCGAAGAGGACGACCACCCCUGAUAGAGGACCGUUCCUCGGUCAAGGGUAUACGAGUAGCUGCGCUCCCCUGCUAGAACCUCCAAACAAGCUCUCAAGGACUUUCUGAGGACCCACCAGGAUGCACGCAACACAAUGCCACCCACCCUGCUCACCUCCGAAGGUGGCGGCUCUUUGGG